UGGAUACAUGAAAUAUAAGUUAUACAGAAUUUUUUCCCAGAAAACUAUAUAUCAAUCUGCUCAGCUCCUUCUGCUCUAUAACAUGCUGCCUGCAGCUCAGACACCGUGUUCAAUGUGACAGCUUCCCUUUA